rnacentral:lncRNA from 1 species
UUCGGGACAUCUUCCACCCUCCUCUGCCCCUUCCCUCACCUAGGGGAGGUAGGUGCCAGCCCUGGCUGGGUAUCCAUCACCCCAAAGGACAUGCAGGGAACCUGGAAAGGUGUGCCGACUGUGCACCUUCUCCAGAAGCCUAAACCAUAAUUCUGCUCUGUGUGUGUGUUGGAUAAUGGCUGGGAGUUGGAACUAAAUGUAUCUUUAAUUUGUCUUACAACCCAAACCAAUCUAUGGUUCUAUAGCAGUGUUGAGUUGGGAUUUUUAAAAUCCAUGUAUGAGGAGAGCCAGGACAAAUCUGAAGCAUAUUAAGGGCUAAUAAUGUAGAUUGAGAGUAGAAAGGCAACUCGGCAGUGGCUCAGUGCGGCAGGAGAGGAUGGAUCCAGCCCUGUAUAAACAGACACUGUCCUUGUGCUUAUGAGGAUGCAGUGUCUAUUCCAAGGGAUUAGCAUAAUUUCAGGCAUGUGUUGAAUGCUAAAUGCAAGAAAACUUCGGGAUUUUUUUUUUUUUAUGAUUCAUUUAUUAGGGGAGGCAGAUGGAAAUAACUCAAAGUCGUGUCAGUGUUUGAGCUAAACUCCAAAGAACCCAACUUUGCAGUUUUAUUUCCGAGCAGAGUGGAUGUGCUUUGGUGCUGCUUUUUUCGGGUGCUGCAGCUCGUUAUUAAGUUCAGUUUUGCCCUUAUAAGGGGACUGGGAGGCAUUUCCUCCUGGCACUUGUUUUUAAAGCACACAGGAAGUUGCACCUUGAUCUGGGUCUGUGUUAGGUGAUACCAAGACAGGUGCUUUGAAAUGUGGGGCCAGCUCUGGCUGAGCCAAAAAAACCCGUCAGGCUUGAGAUGUUAAAGUUUGUCAUGGCAGGCAGAUGCUACAAAUACUUUUUUUGUCAGUACAUUUUUGGUGAUUCAGUUGUUAAAUAUGUUUCUGAUCCAAGUGUCACAGUAUCUGCAAACUGUCCCAAAGCCUGGUGGCACAGCGUGUCUCUGGCCUCUGGGAAAGGUGAUGUGAAAAACUUGUAAAAAGCCACGGGGAGUGGGUUUAAACUUACAAUAUAAUAGAACAUAUUCUAGAACAUAACCACAAAACAAUAGAAUAUAAGCACAAAACGUGAAUGAUUUUUAAGUUUGUGAACUCCUGGAAGGUUGUGCACUGCACAGUUAUUCAGAAUUAAUUGCAAAGUGGCCUUUUUUUGAGAGGUAGCUUCUGUAAAUGUUGAGCUGUUUUGGUAUGUUCAAAUUGUCUGUUCAGUGAUUUUAGUUACAAAAAAAUCAGGAAUAUUUAAUGCAAAAACUUUGGAAAGCAAACCUGUAUCAGCUGCAAAAGUCUGCAAUUUCAAGUUGUUUGAUUAUUUUGCCUUACCUCUUUGGGGCUGGAAUUAAGGCAGGUUUCUUAUAAGUGAUAUAAAUUCAAGAAGUUUAGACAGACACUUCUGAAGUGGUUUAGUCUUGCAAACAAAGACAGAAUUCAGAGAAAUUAAUUCUCUUUUUUGUGUGGAGGGGAUAGAUCUGUUUUCACAGCUCCCCCUGCUCCCUGGAUUUGGAGGUGAAACCCCUUUUUCUUCAACUGAACUUUCCUUGGCACCUUCUGAUGCCUGAUCUGCCUUGUGGAAGAGGCUCAAAAUGAGGAAGGGAGCUUCAAAAUCCAGCAGGUGGAUGGAUAAUCCUUGUGUUGGGUGGGAAUUGCAGCAGAAGGAGCUGUUCUGGUCCAUAAAGGGGAAGGUGUUUGCAUUAUUUGGAGAGGACAAGACUUUCACACAUAAAAACAAACCCUUAGGACUGCUUUUAUCGAGGUGUAUAAAGGGUUGUGAGAAUUUCUGACCCAAGAAGGAGCUUGAGAAGCCAGAUUGUGGAGGGAACACCGAGUUGGGGCUCGGUUCCUGGUUUGUCUGGUGUCCAACAGCAAUUAAAAAUGAUAAAAGUGUUUUCUUCUGGGUGAAAAACUGGCAAUAUUCACGUUGUUCUUUUUCAGCCUGGCUAACAGGUUGCAAUGCAGGCAUUAUUCCUGUAAACACACUCAGAGUUGCUUUAGAUCUUUGAAGCACUUAAAAUGCAAUUAGAUUUCAGGUAUUGGUGAGGCAAACACUUGCUAAAUUGAUAGAAAAUGGCUUUUACAGUUCAAGCACAUAAUUCAGGCAGUUAAUGCUGAGAGCCUGCCUGCAAUAAAGCUUUUCAUGGUUGAUGCAGCUCAGUUUUGCUGGCAGGGUGAGACAGAAAUGCUUGAACCUCAUCAAAAAGGAAAGUGCAGCUUUAAAAAAAUCAGCAUUUUGGGGUUUUGGCAGCUCAAUUGCCACUUCCAUCUCUUGCUGUAGCUUCUGUGCAGGAAUUGAAGUGACAGAUGAAGGGGGGCUGUUCUCUCACUUGAUUUCUUUAGCAGCACUUUGGGGCUCCCAUCCAGGAUUUGUUUCACACAGAUCCUUCCAAAAAACCGAAACAAUGCUGAAAACUACUGGGAGAAGUUGCUGAGGGUUUUCUUGGGCAAAAUGGCUGCAAGUUUCUCUUGACGGAAAGUGGAGAGGAGGAAGUAUAAUUUAGUGGUUUUAAUGUCCUGUUGCAGACAGGUGGAUUUUUAAGGAACAUGCCCUGACCAUUUUCUUCAUGCUGAAGGUCUUUAUAAAACUGCAAACAGUUUUGCUGGCUGGAGUAAUUAUUGGUUGGUUUUUUUUUUUUUUUUCUUUUCCCCUUGAACUGGUUAUAUAAAUGUAACAUAAGUUGCAUAACUGACAGAAAAAUUGAGCUACAGGAAAUUGGGAGGGCAGCCUCGAUCGACAUGGAAAAGUAAAGUCUGGAGCAGUUACUCUGCAUAUCAAUAAUGCCUUUUACACAGUGUGGGAGGUUUGAUAACAGUGAUAUUAACGUGGUUCUCUGCAUGGGGUGUGAUUAUGAUUAUGCACUGAAACUGCUGGCACAUGAAAUUAUUCUGUUUAAUUUAUUUUAGAUUUCCUUCUCCCCCCUCUGGGAUGUAAAAGGUAAUUCAGGAAAUAAAGGAAAAGAGGUGGAAGUGGAGGGAAAAGCAGAGGAUUUAUGCAUUAUCCUGAACUGUGGAGAAAAGUCAUAGUGAAAGCCUGGGGGAAGGAAAAAAAAAAAAAGGAGUUUUUAUAUGAGGAGGAAGCAAGCUGCAGAGUAAGGUGGAAAUAAGCAGAGAGUAGGAAAAUUGUUAAAUUAAAAUGGUUUGCUGUUGCUGUUGGUCCUGUUUGGAUCUGGUUGCCAACAGUUUUCUGGAAAUAGCAAGAAGGAGCCUUUAUAAGGGGAUUUGCUUUGGGAAACUCAUCUGUCAUAAACCCAUUUAUCGGCAGCUUUGCUUUAUGAUAGAUUUUACUGCUACUCCUUUGAAGCAGGUCUGCUGCAUAAGGGAAGCUCUGCUAAUAAUGGGAAUGAAUUCAGUGUUUAAUGCAGUAUUCUCCGAAUUUUGAAGCGUGUGGGGUUUACUGUGAGUCAGGAGUUUGGCCCCAGUUCCCAAAGGCAUAAUUCUCUUUUAACACAAAAUCUGACAACUGCUCUUCCUCCUUCCAGGAGAAAACUCCUAAAGGAAAUUUGCACAUUCCUCCCUUGUUUAUAGAAUGAGUCUGAGAGGGGCUUUGGCUUGUUAAAGCCCCAGAAUAUGAAUAUAGUUCAAACUUUUAGCAGUCUUGGACUCCAAGUGUUGUUUAGAUUGUUCCUUGAGUGUUUCCUGUCUCUUCCAGCUAUUCCAAAACUGAGUGGAAUUUGUCUUGCUCAUCAGGGGGCCCAGCUGGAGUUUAGCAGGAUAUUGAAAUAUUAAAUUGUGUUAGUGAUACUCUUAAUAAUAACCCUUUAAUGUGGUGCAUAUUCUCUCAAAAUUGGAUUAUUAGUCUUUCACUUCAGAUCUUUGAGACUUCAUUCUCCUGGCUGGAAACUGGCACUGAGCUAAUAUUGACUGAUAUCAUUUGGAACAGGAAAGAUUGUUGUUCAACUUAGGAAAUCUGGGAAAAACCCUUGACACCUUGUUUGUCAGGAAAAGGAGGGAUCUAAACCUUCAAUUUUUUUUUUAGAUAAGGAAAAUGGAGCAGGCAGUGCUCAUUCCAUGACUGGGGACAGGAGAGGGAACACAUUUUGUUUGUUAUGGACUCAGAUUUUCAGGAAAUCAGUUUGGCAGAGAUGACUUUUAUGUUCAUUUUGAGCCACCAGCAGCACAGAGAGAUACAAUAAACAAAACAAGCAUUAAAAACCUUGGCACUUGGACAGUCUAAAUGACUUCCUGGUGCUUGCCAUCCAUAAAUACCUGGCUCUGCUCUCCUCUGGAUUUUACUGAAGAAUGAUAACAAAUGCAAAGCAAUUUUUAAUAUUCAUGUGGCUUGUUCUGUUUGGUUUUCAUAUUUUCAUGAAGAUAAAUUAGUUGUAAAGCAUAAUAUAUUUAAGAGGGGAAAAAAGUAUUAAAGGUACCACCGUCAGUACAGCAUUAGGCUCAGUCUUUUGUAUUUAAAUCUAUUUUGCAUGGGAUGUUUUUUUUGUCCCCAGGAUCUCAAACUCUCACCUCUUAUCUCAAUCUGAUGGCCUCCUGCAUGGAAAAAAGGGGUGGCCACCCUCAGUGCUGAGGUUUUGAAUUAAAAAUCCAAAAUUCAGCUGCAAGGUGGCAUUUGCAGGUCACUUGGUGUGGUGUUUUCUUGUGCACUCAGCGUUUCAUGUUUACUGAGAAUGCACAAGAAAUAACCUUUCGCUUCCUGGACACUUCUGUAUUUCACUUUUCCUCAAAGUACAGCAAAACAGGCACCGAUAAUUUUGAAAUUGCUGGGGCUGAGAGUUUAAAAGUUCAUAAAGGACCAGAGGUCAGGGAGCCUGGGCUGUGUGUAUCACACCUUUGUGUCAGCCUGUGUUGGCACCCUCUGUCACUCUGUGCUACAGGAAUUACCCUCCCUCUGAAAAAAAAAAAUAAAAUUACAAAUUCACCCUUUGCCUCUUUGCUCCUUCCCGCUCUUGAUUUGUAUUGCAUUUAUAUUAAAUUACAUUUUUUUUCUUCUACCCUUCUUUCUUGUCCUUAAUGCUGGAGGAAGAGAAAGGUGCAUUUGACUUUGGUAAUGAAGUAACAGCUGCAAUUCCAGAUUUAGCAUUUGCUGCCUUCCAGUGUUCCUGGUGGAAAAGUCUGUUUGGGCUCUGCAGGUUACAAUGGGCACCAGGUGCUUCUGAAAUGGAGUUAUAACCUUGCAACUUUUCUAUUAGAAAUCUCAGGGCUUGGCUUGAAUGUCUUUUAUUUGACUUAGGUAUUGAUUUUUAGAAGUCUGUUAAUAACUCCAGGCCCUAAUGACAAAGAAUAGUCAAGAGCUCAUCCAGACUCUGGUCAGAGACAAGGAACCUGUGUGAUCCCUGAUUUUUGGUAGGAUCACAGCAAUUCAUUGCCAAGGAAACUUGUGCUCACUGUCCUGAGGGGGACAUCGAGGUUGUUUAUUGGUGAUACAUAACAAACCCUGAUGGAUACAUCCCAUGGAGAUGCAAAUUGCUGGCAAAGCUUUGUAGUUGGAAUUUUCCCCUGGAAACCUUUGUUUUACCAAGUGGAAAAAAUCACCUUGCCUUGUUCUACACCAAUAAUUGUUUUAGGAGGAAUUGAUGGCCUUUAACAACUUCCUUGUAGUUGUGGGCUUGGUUAAGAGAGGAGAGCCUGGGUUUGAUUUGGAUUCGAGUGAAAGGACAAAUAGGGAUGGCUUAGAACUGCAUUUUUACCAAAGAACAGCUAUCUUCUGCCAAGCUAAAAAAAAAAAACCAACCCUGUGGGUUUUACAGCGCUUUCAGCUUCCUGGACAUGUGACUGACAACUCAGCCAGGCUCCAGAUAAAUAAGGAAGAUACAUCAGCAAACAGGCUUGGCUUAAAAAGAAGGUACCUCUUAAAUCCUGCUCACCCCGUGCCAGCACAGCCUUAAACACCUCAGAGCUGAUGUGCUGAUGAGAUUAACUGGGCUUUGGGAUUAACUCUUCAGCCUUGGUGGGGAUUGACUGGUGUUUGUCUUGAAAUUAAAGAGUGUGGUGCUGAUACCUCAGGUUUUGGCUUUUAUAUUUUCACAUUCUGAGCUGCUUUAGUGUGUGGGUCUGGGCUUCACAUCAGGGGAUGCUGAGCUCUCUGCACAGAGCAGGGACACAAAACAAUUCCUGCUCCAGCUGGGCACCAAGGACAAAUGAUCCAAAUCUCAGCCCAGGAGCACAAACACCGUGGGCUGGAGAGAGAAAAACAAGCAGGGUGGGACUGCCUGGGCUGAAGCUGGAAUGGGACCAUGAACUCCAAGGUGCCAAUGGAGCAGAACUGAUCCCAGGGAGAGCCCCCGGGAGCGCUCGUGCAUUUUGGGGCCAUUUUGGGUCAUUUGGGUGCAGCCCUGGCUGGGCUCUGGUGCUGCCCAAGGUGGAUCCAUGGAGGAGAUCCUUUAAUAAAUCCCAAAAAAUAAAUUCUGUGACUCUGCCCAGCUCUGCUCUAGGGCAGCCCCCACAAGGCAUCAGCACCUCCAGGUUUAAUCACUCCGUGUUGGUAGGAGCUUGAGUGAAGUUGAAUUAAGUGAAAAAACCCAAACUUUUUCCUUGGCUCAUGGUGUGUGUGCAGGCAGCAGAGCUGCUGUGGGGCAUCCUUGGAUUUCAGGAGGCUUCACCUCAGCUCUGUGGGAACUUGGGAAAUCCUGUGUGAGGAAUUGAGGUGGAGCAGUUCAGCUCCAUCAGGCACAGAAUUGUUCACAGAAUUGUUUUCCCCACACCUGCACCACAGCCUGGGCUUGCUGCUGUGUCUGUACUUCAUUUCCCCUUCCUACAGAACUAGCAACUCUCUCUCUGUAUAUUAAUUUUAUGUAAUUUUUAAUUUUAUCUUUUGAUUUUAUAUUAAUUUACAAUAAUUUUCUGGUUUAGGUGAUAUUAAUUUUAUGUAAAUAUUAACGUUAUGUGAUCAAGGCAGGACUUGCCAGCCUAUAAAUCUGCAUCCUGCCUCACCUUCACUCUUGACAUGAGCCCUCCUUGAUUUUGUGUCAUGCUUUGAUGAACAAAUUCCUCAGGACUUGUUCAGGCUGCUGAGUCCUUGUUACUGACCAGCCUGAUGAAGUUUAAUUAGCAGUGAAAUUGCUGUGCUUGUUUGUGCCUUGUGCCUACUCUGCUGCUCCUUUUGGCCCCUGAGUUCUGUAAAAGCUCAGCUUUGCACACAUAGUGCCAAUCACUGAAAUUAUUACACAAAAAACUGGAUUUCUCCAAGCUUUGUGGCGAGUUCACCCUUGGAAAUACAGCUGAGAUGCAAACCACUCUUCCUGAUAUUUUUGCUGAUAUUGCAGAGGUUUUUUGUUAAAACCACAAUGUUUUCCAGGGAAAAGAUUUACUGCCUGUUUCAGCUGAGCUUUUGGGAGCUCUUUAAUCUGCAGUAGCUCUGCACUGAGGGCAGCCAGCUGGCAGAAGUGCACAUGACACUCAGAAUCCCACCCCUGCUCUGCUGCGUGGCACAAUUCCUUUUUUUACCAAUAAUAAACAUUGGUAACCACCAGUAAAGCAGUGACACCUUCACCAGGCUCUUUGUACAUCUGCUCACAGCCACAGCAAUUUUUAGGGGAUGUUCUAAUCACCAAGUUAUCCUUUAAUUUAAAAAAAAAAAAAAAAAAAA